rnacentral:ncRNA from 2 species
AGGAAAUAUCAUCUCCGAACCUGUCCGCCUGUGGCACUGGCUAUGGCAGCAGGUCUGUAGGGUAUGUCUGGAAACGGACAUACCUCCCGUUAUGGAAAGGGGAUUUACAACUUGAGUA